UCCCACACAGAAGAGGGGCAUCUGGCAGAUCUGGCCAAGCUGAGUGGACCAGUUGAGACAAUUCAAACUGAGGUUGAAUUCAAAUAAGUGCACUAUCAGAGUGCGGGCCGGUAAGCCGUUGGGGGUUUAUUGUAAGUAAGAGAGGAAUCGAGGUUGAUCCUGCUUAAAAAAAAAGAAAAAAAAGAAAGAAAACAAAACAAGA
rnacentral:lncRNA from 1 species